UACGUAGGGCGCGAGCGUUGUCCGGAAUUAUUGGGCGUAAAGAGCUCGUAGGCGGCCUGUUGCGUCCGCUGUGAAAUCCCAGGGCUUAACCCUGGGCGUGCAGUGGAUACGGGCAGGCUGGAGGCAGGCAGGGGAGAACGGAAUUCCCGGUGUAGCGGUGAAAUGCGCAGAUACCGGGAGGAACACCGGUGGCGAAGGCGGCCAUCUGGGACAACACUGACGCUGAAGCACGAAAGCGUGGGGAGCAAACAGG
rnacentral:rRNA from 1 species